rnacentral:lncRNA from 1 species
CAAAUUUUUAAUAGAAGCUAUAGAAUUUUAAGAAGUAAUAGGACCUUAAGCAUUUAUCUUUCAGCUGUCAUUUUUAUUGAUGAUAUAUUUAGCAAAAUCUAAAUUAUAUUUAUACACAAAGUUUUCUAAAUUGUAAAUCAAUUAAAUAAUGGUUAAUUGCAUAAAAUUUGAUUUAAUAUGAUAUGGCAUACUUGUGCACUGUACAAAAUUUUUUUCUUUGUAAUUCUAGUCUAAUUUUUACUGCAAAAUCACAAAAUGAAGGAAUGCCCUCAUCAAAGUCAUAGAAUUUAAAUAAACUUCUGUGGGAACAUUUUUAUAGGCACAUUUAAGUAUACAUCUGGGGAUCAUAAGGUCAUAGAUUUAGAGUUAGAAGGGAUCUUAGAACUCAUUUAUUGCAAUUCUUUCAUUUUACAGAUGAGAACCAUAGUGUAACUAGCUCAAGUUGUGCCUUUGCAUAGGCAAUCUCCUUUGCUUGAAGGCACUCCCUUCUCAUUUCUGAUUUUCAGAAUCUUAUUCUCUUUCAAGGGUGUCUCAGAUUAGAUGCCACCUCCUCCAAGAGGUCAUCCGUGAUCCUUCAGUUAUCCAUGCUCUCUCCCACUUCAGAUAACCUUGUGUUUACUUCUUUUUCAACUGUACAAGUAUUCUUAUUCAUGUAGGUAUGAUCACAUCAUUCUCCUGCUCAAAAAUUGACAUUGGCUCCCCUUUGCCUCUAAGACAAAAUACCAGAUCCUUAAUCAAGUCCUUCCCAAUCUGCCUUCAAUUGAACUUUCUAGCCUGAUAUUACAUUACUCAGAUUCAUUCACUCUAUGUUCUAAUCAACCUCAUGAGAGAGACUGCUGAAGAGAUAGCAAAGAAAGAAUGAAAUUUCCAAUAUUCUCAAACACAUCUUUAACAGUAUUAAGUCUGUUCAAAAACAAAUCAAAGCCACCAUAAGAUAAACUGGGCUAUUCCAGCACUAGCUAAAAGAGAAAGUUCAUUGUUCAUUAUAAUCAUGCAAUAUUAUGGCACUCUACAUUGCCCUAAUACUCUUUUCCCUUAUUUCCAGGUAUUUGGUCACAAGAUAAGUAAAAUCAAAAUAGCAGGAGAGCAUAAUUUCAAGAAAGCUAUGGAGACUAAGAUGCAAAGGCAGGUCCCCCUCUGCUUUUGCACCUUAAAGAGGAUGGCCUCCUUUUCAGAUGAGAAUGGAUCCUUCUCAGACUGAAUUUGUACGUAGGUAAGAUAAGCCUCUUUUGGACGUGAGUGGAUCAUCCUACUCUUUGUAAAGGAUAUCAGGGCUUUGAGUUAUAGUACAAGCCUAAGCACAUCACCCUGUACUCAAUAAACUUAAAUGGCUCCUCA